rnacentral:rRNA from 1 species
UACGGGGGGGGCAAGCGUUGUUCGGAAUUACUGGGCGUAAAGGGCUCGUAGGCGGCCAACUAAGUCAGACGUGAAAUCCCUCGGCUUAACCGGGGAACUGCAUCUGAUACUGGAUGGCUUGAGUUCGGGAGAGGGAUGCGGAAUUCCAGGUGUAGCGGUGAAAUGCGCAGAUAUCAGGAAGAACACCCGUGGCGAAGGCGGGUUGCUGGGCUGAUACUGACGCUGAGGCGCGAAAGCCAGGGGAGCAAACGGG